rnacentral:misc_RNA from 1 species
CUUUCUGGUCCUGGGAGCAGCCAGCGUGGCGUUAUUGAUGGUGGGGCUGAAACAGAUCCACUUUCAAGCGUUGGCAGUGGAAUGGGUUUCAAUGCUCCAUCAUCAUUUGUACCGUCAAAUAUGUUGAGUCCUGGUCCAUCUGGUCAAGUUCAGGGACAGCAAUUUUCAAACACCUCUGGCAACCAGUUGUUACCAGAUCAACAGCAAUCCCAACAACUUGAAGCUCAAAGUUUCCAGCAUGGUCAGCAACCAAUGCAACAGUGCUCUGCCUCACAUAAUACCCAGCUGGUGCAGCAGCAACACCAAUUUCAGCCAAUUCGUGGUGGAAUAGGGGGCGUUGGGCCUGUCAAGUUGGAGCCUCAGGUGACAAAUGAUCAACAUGGAGCACAGCAGCAGCAGCCACAGCAACUGCAGCCAGUGAGAAAUCUUGUUCCAGUCAAAAUGGAACCGCAACAAAUUCAUUCUAUGAGAAGUUUAGCACCGGUAAAAUUAGAACCUCAACAUUCAGAUCAGUCACUGUUUCUGCAUCAACAGCAGCAGCAACAACAGCAACAGCAACCGCAACAGCAACAACAGCAAUUCCUUCAGAUGUCAAGACAGACUUCUCAGGCGGCGGCUGCUACAAUUAAUCUUUUACAUCAACAAAGACUAUUGCAGCUGCAACAACAACAGCAACAGCAACAGCAACUCUUGAAAGCGAUGCCACAGCAACGGCCUCAAUUACCACAGCAAUUUCAACAACAGAAUUUGCCUAUGAGAUCUCCUGUGAAAGCAGGGUAUGAAUCAGGGAUGUGUGCUCGCCGUCUCACACAUUACAUGUAUCAGCAACAGCACAGGCCAGAAGACAACAAUAUUGAAUUCUGGAGAAAAUUUGUAGCUGAAUAUUUUGCUCCACAUGCAAAAAAGAAGUGGUGUGUUUCUAUGUAUGGAAGUGGCCGACAAACAACUGGAGUUUUCCCUCAGGACGUAUGGCACUGUGAAAUCUGCAAUCGCAAGCCAGGC